CGACCAGCCACAGUCAGUCCAGGAAAAAAGCAUAAAAAGUGAGGCCCUUCCAGCACCUCAGAGAAUGAGCUGAGAGAAGAUAAAUCCUGAUGAGUUAUGAGUUUGGAGCACCUUGAAGAUUCCCACUGUGGGAGGCUGAUCCCAGGUUUUUGUGGGAUUUAAUAACUCAAUAAACAGCUUGGAAAAAAUGCACUCAGACAUCUCCAAAUUAUUUUCCCGAAAUCCCAGCAAGGAAUUCCAGAACUUCCAUUGGAAAUGCCCCAACCCUCUGGAAUUUUGCAGCUGGAGGGGUUUUUCCAUCCUCUCUUGGGAAG